UACGUAGGGGGCAAGCGUUGUCCGGAAUCAUUGGGCGUAAAGAGCGUGUAGGCGGCCCGGUAAGUCCGCCGUGAAAGUCCAGGGCUCAACCCUGGAAUGCCGGUGGAAACUGCCGGGCUGGAGUCCGGAAGAGGCGAGUGGAAUUCCUGGUGUAGCGGUGGAAAUGCGCAGAUAUCAGGAGGAACACCAAUGGCGAAGGCAGCUCGCUGGGACGGUACUGACGCUGAGGAGCGAAAGCGUGGGGAGCGAACAGG
rnacentral:rRNA from 1 species